AGCAGCCGCGGUAAUUCCAGCUCCAAUAGCGUAUAUUAAAGUUGUUGCAGUUAAAAAGCUCGUAGUUGAAUUUCGGGAUUGACGUGAUGGUCGUGCCUUACGGGGUAUGAACUGUUGCAGUCAAUUUCUCACCUUCUGGAGAAAUAUGAUGUCCUUAAUUGGGUGUCAUAUGGAACCAGAACUUUUACCUUGAAAAAAUUAGAGUGUUUAAAGCAGGCUUAUUGCUCGAAUACAUUAGCAUGGAAUAAUAAAAUAGGACGGCAUGGCUCUAUUUUGUUGGUUUCUAGGAUCACCGUAAUGAUUAAUAGGGAUAGUUGGGGGCAUUAGUAUUCAAUUGUCAGAGGUGAAAUUCUUGGAUUUAUUGAAGACUAACUACUGCGAAAGCAUUUGCCAAGGAUGUUUUCAUUAAUCAAGAACGAAAGUUAGGGGAUCGAAGACGAUCAGAUACCGUCGUAGUCUUAACCAUAAACUAUGCCGACUAGGAAUCAGACGAUGUUAAUUUUUUAAUGACUCGUUUGGC
rnacentral:misc_RNA from 1 species